rnacentral:rRNA from 1 species
ACACUCCUACGGGAGGCAGCAGUGGGGAAUAUUGCACAAUGGGCGCAAGCCUGAUGCAGCGACGCCGCGUGGGGGAUGAAGGCCUUCGGGUUGUAAACUCCUUUCGCUAGGGACGAAGCUUUUUUGUGACGGUACCUAGAUAAGAAGCACCGGCUAACUACGUGCCAGCAGCCGCGGUAAUACGUAGGGUGCGAGCGUUGUCCGGAAUUACUGGGCGUAAAGGGCUCGUAGGUGGUUUGUCGCGUCGUCUGUGAAAUUCUGGGGCUUAACUCCGGGCGUGCAGGCGAUACGGGCAUAACUUGAGUGCUGUAGGGGUAACUGGAAUUCCUGGUGUAGCGGUGAAAUGCGCAGAUAUCAGGAGGAACACCGAUGGCGAAGGCAGGUUACUGGGCAGUUACUGACGCUGAGGAGCGAAAGCAUGGGUAGCGAACAGGAUUAGAUACCCGAGUAGUCCCAUGAU